rnacentral:rRNA from 1 species
GACGAACGCUGGCGGCGUGCCUAAUACAUGCAAGUCGAACGAACUCUGGUAUUGAUUGGUGCUUGCAUCAUGAUUUACAUUUGAGUGAGUGGCGAACUGGUGAGUAACACGUGGGAAACCUGCCCAGAAGCGGGGGAUAACACCUGGAAACAGAUGCUAAUACCGCAUAACAACUUGGACCGCAUGGUCCGAGUUUGAAAGAUGGCUUCGGCUAUCACUUUUGGAUGGUCCCGCGGCGUAUUAGCUAGAUGGUGGGGUAACGGCUCACCAUGGCAAUGAUACGUAGCCGACCUGAGAGGGUAAUCGGCCACAUUGGGACUGAGACACGGCCCAAACUCCUACGGGAGGCAGCAGUAGGGAAUCUUCCACAAUGGACGAAAGUCUGAUGGAGCAACGCCGCGUGAGUGAAGAAGGGUUUCGGCUCGUAAAACUCUGUUGUUAAAGAAGAACAUAUCUGAGAGUAACUGUUCAGGUAUUGACGGUAUUUAACCAGAAAGCCACGGCUAACUACGUGCCAGCAGCCGCGGUAAUACGUAGGUGGCAAGCGUUGUCCGGAUUUAUUGGGCGUAAAGCGAGCGCAGGCGGUUUUUUAAGUCUGAUGUGAAAGCCUUCGGCUCAACCGAAGAAGUGCAUCGGAAACUGGGAACUUGAGUGCAGAAGAGGACAGUGGAACUCCAUGUGUAGCGGUGAAAUGCGUAGAUAUAUGGAAGAACACCAGUGGCGAAGGCGGCUGUCUGGUCUGUAACUGACGCUGAGGCUCGAAAGUAUGGGUAGCAAACAGGAUUAGAUACCCUGGUAGUCCAUACCGUAAACGAUGAAUGCUAAGUGUUGGAGGGUUUCCGCCCUUCAGUGCUGCAGCUAACGCAUUAAGCAUUCCGCCUGGGGAGUACGGCCGCAAGGCUGAAACUCAAAGGAAUUGACGGGGGCCCGCACAAGCGGUGGAGCAUGUGGUUUAAUUCGAAGCUACGCGAAGAACCUUACCAGGUCUUGACAUACUAUGCAAAUCUAAGAGAUUAGACGUUCCCUUCGGGGACAUGGAUACAGGUGGUGCAUGGUUGUCGUCAGCUCGUGCCGUGAGAUGUUGGGUUAAGUCCCGCAACGAGCGCAACCCUUAUUAUCAGUUGCCAGCAUUAAGUUGGGCACUCUGGUGAGACUGCCGGUGACAAACCGGAGGAAGGUGGGGAUGACGUCAAAUCAUCAUGCCCCUUAUGACCUGGGCUACACACGUGCUACAAUGGAUGGUACAACGAGUUGCGAACUCGCGAGAGUAAGCUAAUCUCUUAAAGCCAUUCUCAGUUCGGAUUGUAGGCUGCAACUCGCCUACAUGAAGUCGGAAUCGCUAGUAAUCGCGGAUCAGCAUGCCGCGGUGAAUACGUUCCCGGGCCUUGUACACACCGCCCGUCACACCAUGAGAGUUUGUAACACCCAAAGUCGGUGGGGUAACCUUUUAGGAACCAGCCGCCUAAGGUGGGACAGAUGAUUAGGGUG